UGAGCAAUGAAAAUUCAAUUUCAACAGUGGAUAAGAUUGGACAAAGAGAGAACAAAGAAGUUGCUCAAAGAAAGGGAUGCAAUGCUGGGUUUGCAGAUGAAGGAGAUUGAAAACAGAGGUCAAAUCCAGAAGAUGAUUAGAUGGUUGAGAUUGAUGCUGAUUGGGUGUUCAGAUUGAAUCAGCUCUAUUAUCAAACCAUUAAUAGAUUGGCUCCGAAUUAAAACUUCCUCAAGGUCUCGAGUCUCUUCCUAUUGUCCUUAGAUAUCUGUCCUGGCGGUUUUAUCCUUUGGCAACUUUGCCAUCAAAGUUUUCUCCAAGCUGUCGUGUUGAGGUUCAUAUGCCCCAUAGCCAACUCCAGACUCUUUGGAAUAAAGACCAGAACCCUAUGUACCUAAAAAAAUCGAUCUUAGCCACUCAUUGAAGCUGGUUGAUGUUCCAUACGUCACAGCAAGUCUUGAGAGUAUAAAUCUUCAAGGAUGUGAAAGUUUGGUUCAAGUACUCAUUGUUUAUCUUCUAAGAUUUGAAAUGAGAUUGAAACUGAAAUCAUACAUCCCAGGUUCGUGAAAUUUGCAAUUGAAUGUUUAAACAAUACUGGGUAUGUUGUGUUUGGCUGGGUAUGUUGU